GAGGAUAUAGCUCAGUGGUAGAGCACUUGCCUAGAAUGCAUGAGGCCUUAGCUUCA
rnacentral:tRNA from 1 species